rnacentral:rRNA from 1 species
GAUGAACGCUGGCGGCGUGCCUAAUACAUGCAGGUCGAGCGAACAGACGAGGAGCUUGCUCCUCUGACGUUAGCGGCGGACGGGUGAGUAACACGUGGAUAACCUACCUAUAAGACUGGGAUAACUUCGGGAAACCGGAGCUAAUACCGGAUAAUAUAUUGAACCGCAUGGUUCAAUAGUGAAAGACGGCUUUGCUGUCACUUAUAGAUGGAUCCGCGCCGCAUUAGCUAGUUGGUAAGGUAACGGCUUACCAAGGCGACGAUGCGUAGCCGACCUGAGAGGGUGAUCGGCCACACUGGAACUGAGACACGGUCCAGACUCCUACGGGAGGCAGCAGUAGGGAAUCUUCCGCAAUGGGCGAAAGCCUGACGGAGCAACGCCGCGUGAGUGAUGAAGGUCUUCGGAUCGUAAAACUCUGUUAUUAGGGAAGAACAAAUGUGUAAGUAACUAUGCACGUCUUGACGGUACCUAAUCAGAAAGCCACGGCUAACUACCUG